GGAUCUUUAGCUCAGUUGGUUAGAGCAAUCGGCUCAUAACCGGUUGGUCCGGGGUUCGAGUCCCUGAAGGUCCACCA
rnacentral:tRNA from 1 species